rnacentral:piRNA from 1 species
UCAGAUCUCCUGGACUAGACUUAGAG